rnacentral:rRNA from 1 species
AUUGAACGCUGGCGGCAUGCUUAACACGUGCAAGUCGAACGGUAACAGGCCCUUCGGGGUGCUGACGAGUGGCGGACGGGUGAGUAAUGCUUAGGAAUCUGCCUAAUAGUGGGGAAUAACCCGGGGGAAACUCGGGCUAAUACCGCAUACGCCCUACGGGGGAAAGGCGGGGGACGUUUCGGGCCGUCGCGCUAUUAGAUGAGCCUAAGUCCGAUUAGCUAGUUGGUAGGGUAAUGGCCUACCAAGGCGGCGAUCGGUAGCUGGUCUGAGAGGACGACCA